rnacentral:lncRNA from 1 species
UUUUUUUAAGUUGUUUGUUUCUCUUAGUUUGUAAAGCUCUUGGUUUGCCGGAAGUUCGCCGGAAGUAAAUAAAGUUGCUGAUACAAGGUAAAUUAAUUCUCUUCUUUUAUUUGUAAAUCUUUUUAUAUCUCCGAUCUGGAAGCUGUGACUAUGUCCGGCUAAAAAUUUAUAUCUAUGCCGGAUAACUAACUUCUCUUUUAUAUAGACCAUGAACGGAUCUAAG